AUAUAUAUAUAUAUAUAUAUAUAUAUAUAUACAUACAUACAUACAUACAUACAUAAAUCUCUAUAUAUAAUGAAUACUAAAAAAUAUAUGCCACUUUUAAAUAUACACUUAUAACAGUUUCAUAUGUAUAUACAUACACACAUAUACAUACAAACAUACCUAUAUAUAUAUUAACUAUUAUUAUUAAUAUUUAUUGAGUUAUUAAUAAAUAUAUAUAUUUCAACAUAUUUUCAGCAUAUCAAUAUUAAUGCAUAAAAAUGUAUAUUUUAAUACAUCAAUAAUAUAUUUUGAUAUAAACUGUAAUACAACUAUGCGAAUAUAUAUAUAUAUAUAAAUUAAUGUAUGGAGAUAGAUGUAAAUGUGUUUUAAACAUUCUUUUACAAACAAAACAAAAAUAUUGUCUAUCAAACGAAAAAACUUCUAGAAGAAUUGAUAUUAGAUUCCUUUCUAAAUUAAAACUAUUUUUGCUUAUGCUAUACAAGACAUUUUAUGUAUAUCGUAACCAUACAACCAUUUGUUAAAUAUUAAUAAGUUUUCAAGCCCAAUCAUAGCUGAGAUAUUAGAGUCAUUUAUCAGUGCAAGUUAUCAUUUUUUCUUAAAAAGAAAUAUGCAUUGUUUUAUUGUUUCACAUUAAUUUUUUGUUACAAUUGCUUCAAUAGUUUUAUUUUUAUUGCUAAAACAGUUGAAUUGUUUUUUGCUGCUGAAUACUCUUCCUUCUAUUCAUUCAGCAGUAAAUUAAGAAUGAGGGUCUUUAAUUUUUUUUUGUUUUUAUUGGGCUAGGGUUUCUCAGUCAGGAAUUCUGGAGCUAGUUUAUUAAGUACCUUGGUCAGAGGCUCACUUUUUUGUGUUAAGACUGAAAUUUAUGACUAUGUGAUAAGAAGUCUAGUUUGAUUUAAACAGAUAUAAUUGGAUGUGAAUGAAGCAAAUAUCUUUCCACAAGAUAACUGACAUCUAGUGAUACAGUAGUUUUAUUUUCAUUAGAUUCUUUUCUUCUUGAACCUUAUGUAUGUCCCAUUAUACCAGAUAAAAAUCCUUCACUAUGUGAUGUUGCAAAGAUAAAUUUAUGAGUCUCAUAGAAUUUGAAUGUCUGUAUGCCAUAUGCUGGUUUAAUGGAUCAUAACAGUAAGAGGCAGGUGAAAGGAAAGAAAAAGGAAACUUAUACAUCCUUUUUCAUGCUGAUGGGAGUUUGAUAUGUUGCAUUUCCUGUAACAGGCCUGAUUUAUUGGCGGUGCCUUUCAUUGUAUUAAUUGCCUAAUUACUGAAAUGGGAGGGACUAGAAUCUAGAUUUCGUUCAAUGUGAGCAAAUGCACAUACAUGUAAUGUACUUUGGUAUGUAUUGUUAAAUCAUUAAUCAUUUUGUUAAAUCAUUAAUCAUAUUGAGAACUGAAUUUUUGUCCCCCGUAUUUACACUUGACAAAAAUAAACAAAACAAAAGAAAAAAACAAAGCAAAAUCAAACACAUCCCGCUUUGAAGCAUCAGCAUUAAAUCAAUAAAGCUUUUAUUGUGUAAUAUGGUGGCAUAGGGGAAGAAAACCAUACUUAAACAAACUAAAUAAAUGUUACACAUGUUUUAUAGCUAUAUGAAAACUAGAAAAACAGCUGAGUCCCCAAUAUGAUUUAUGCCACCUUAUGCAAGCACUUCAUUAGUACGCAAAUUGAGUUGCUUAACUGGAAUCCAUUUUGAGUAUUAAAUAGGAUUGAUUCUAUUUAACUAUGAUGAUUACAUAUGAACUAUUGUUUUCCUCAUUUUACACACCGAUGCACAAACAGUUACAGAACUUUUAUACAUACAAACACACACAACUCUGUGUGAGUGUAUGUAUAUAUAUAUAUAUACAUACAUAUAUAUUAUAUGGUGUAGACAUUGUUAAGUAGUGAUGAAGUUUGCUUUGCAGCCAUAAGAUUCAAUCCACAUUUGAUACAACUGCAUGGUACCUUUGCCAAGUUUCUUUUACUAUAGCUUUGCCCAAUGCCUCAUGAAUAGAACUUUGUAAGUGGAAUCUGUGUGGAUGCCUAUUGUGUGAGUGAGUGUGUGUGUGUGUGUGUGUGUGAGUGUGUGUGUGUGUGUGUGUGUGUGUUGAAAACUGUAAAAUGAUGCAUUGACUUCUGCCUAUUUGUAACAAAAUGCAAUUCAGUCAUUAGGUAAAUAAAUAUCUAUGAAAUAAGUACAAGACUGAACUAAGUACAGUGAUUGAUAAGAGCAACUAAAACUCAUGAAAGUAGUACCCUUACGUAUCUAUAUCAUCAUAAUCAUCAUCAUUUAACAUUCGUUUUCCAUGCUGGUACAGGCUGUAUAUAUAUAUAUUAUUUAAUAAACAGAAUAAAAGUUUCUAUGUGCAACAAUCAGUUUCAUGAAAUGAAAGCAUGCCAGUCAGUAUUUUUUAACAUGUCUAGUGCCUUAGUGCAAUCUUCAGGCACUGCUCACAUGGCAUAACAAGCUAAAGUAGGAUGACAGGAUGAGGGAAAAGAAUGGGAAAAGGUGAGAAAGAAGUAGAUAUAAGAGGUGGAAGUUUGAAAAGGCAGAAAACACAAAAAAAAGAAAGCAGAAAGAAGUAAAAGGGAGAAGAUUAGAGUUAUUUCCCCUUUUACAGUAAAUAUAAGGCUAAAAAGAUGGUUGUAUAGCUACUCAAUUCAGAGACGAUGGUACUUUCCAAUUAAUCAACAGGAACUUAGCCAUAUGUUUACAGCCAUUGAAAAUAUUGGAUCUAGAAUUCAGCAGUGUGGUAGAGUUCUUAGAUUUGAAAAGAAUCCGAGUUCUUUCAGCUAUGCAUAGCUUACAUUUUUUGCUCUGUUGACAAAUGGUGUGGCUUUUUAAUCUAUUUUCCAAUUUUUCGCAUGUGGUGUGACAUUAGAUUUCAAACCCUAUCCAUGGCUAACCAACUUAGUAACUUUAUUUUAGUCCCAGUGUUGGAUGGAAGAUAUGUGGCUGAGAUAUUUUUAAUCUUCAUAUACAUAUAUAGACACACACAUACAUAUAUAUAUACAUACUUAUAUGUAUACACAUAGUAAUUAGCAAUGUGGUUAUAAUAAUAAUAAUAAUAAUAAUAAUAAUAAUGAAUUAUGUAUUAGGCUAAAGUCUCUUCUUUUGCUCAAGAAAUGUAAAAAAAAGCUGGACCACUACAAUAUUACUAGUUCUUAUUGUGAAAUCCAUAUUCCAUGGUUACUGUACUUCAAUUUGAAACUAACAAUCUUAAAUUCUGUGUGAAAGAUAUAUUUUACCUUUCUAUUUACUCAUCAUUUAAACAGCUUUCUGAGUAUAUUUGCAGUUAAAUAUUUCAUUCAAUCAAUAUUAAUUAAAAGCUAAGUCAACAAUUACAGAAAAUACACCAAACACUGCUGCUUUCCCAAUUAGAUAUUGUCGUCUCUUGAUCUAACAAGCUUAAUUCUUUGUUUAUUCUUUUGCUAAAUUGAUAAAUUAAUUCCAAUUGAAAUAUAAUUAAAACCCGAGAUUAAAACGUAUAUAUUUUCUUAGUAUUUUCCUUUUCUUAUACUUAUUAAAAUUCAACUGACCCAUAAAAAAAAUUUUGUUAUAGUUAAUAAAUAAAGAAUUCCAAUAACUAAAAUCCUAAUUAUUCUAUGCCCACACACACGUGUGUGCAUGUAUUAGCUAUGAAAGAAAACAUAGCUAUAUUUGAUCAUGUACAACAACAUGAAAUGUAAUGAAAUACCAGUAAAUAUUGGAUUUUAUUUAUUUUUUUAAAUUGAUAUUUAGUUUUCAAUAAAUUAAAGAAAAAAUAUUUAAGCUCUAAUUGAAAUUUAAACCAGUCACGAACUAGAACUUAACUGCACUCAGUUUUACUAAAGCAAAACCAUUAAAUAUCCCACACUUUGGUCUAGCACAACACCAAUAUUUCUGUUUAAAGUACAUCACUGCAUUGCUGCCGGACAAUUAAUGUCUGUCUGGAAUGUAAAUUGUUAAAUGAAAAGGAAAAAAAAAACAAUGAAUUUCUAAAAGAGAGAUAUGAAAAUUUAAUAUGUAGAGAGUAUUACUUAUUAAUUCCAGUUUUGUCUAUACUUAAAUUCAUGAUAUCAUCGAAGGAAAUUUAAUUUUCAAUUUUCUUUUCCUUUCUAUACAUUAAUAUAAGAAUACUUAGGUUCUUCAAGUAUUUGAGGAUAUAUUUAUAAAAGAAACAGAAAUGUGAAACAAAUAAAUAUAAUUAAAAAAUAACAAAGAAACAAAUAAAAACAAUUAUUUAGAAUUCAUUUCCAGUAUUAAUUCAAGAUGUGCAUUCCAGGAAGUUAACUUAGAGUCCACCAAAAUAUAUUUGGGGAUACACACACACACACAUAUUUCAGAAUUAAUUAAAGGAUUAUUUCUUUCAAUAAAUACGAAAUUAUUUUGAGAAAAUGAAAUUUAUUAAAAAUUUUGCCUCAAUAGCAAUAUAAUAUAUAUAUAUGCAGAUAAAUAUGAAUUUGUGUAUGUGCAUAUAUGUGUGAGUGAACAUGUGUUUGUGUGCAUAUGUGGUGACAGUCAACUUAUUUCAAAUAUGACCACUCCUUAGAGAAUGCUACCCCAUUUUUAUGAGCAGAUGUAAUGGAGAAUAUAGUAGCGCAGACAACAUAAGAAGCACAAUUGUAUCCACCUAAAAUACAAACACCAUAUGCCUUUUACAGAACCUAAGAGGUUUCAUUAUGACACACCUAGGUGAUACUCCAAUCAUUCCAAAUAACAAUGACCAAUUUUGAGAAGCCUGUUGCUCAUUUGGUGGUCUAUAAAGUUCCUGUGUUUAAAAUUGAUUAUAGUGAAUGAAAUAGACAGAGAGCUAUAUUCACUUUCCAGGGAACCUUUUUCCUCUUAAUGGUCCAAUAUAGAUUUUGGAUGGCUAGAAACUGAGCAGGCCCCAGAUUUUACAUCGCAGUGUCCUUCUCAUAAACAGAUCAUUCAAACUAGAACUGGUGGACCAUUAUAAACUGGCCUUACAAUGUAAAUAUUCACAGUUUUAAUUGUUUCCAUACUGUUAGAUGUUCAUAACCCUGUGUUGAGUUCAUCUGCCCUUCUGACAAAUCUUGCAUCUGAACUGGUGGAUUUGUUCUUAAAAUAAUUCUUCAUUAGGUUAAACCUGUUGGGUUUAACUAGGUGUACUAGAUUACAUAUUAGCAAUUGCAUUGAGAAUUACAUAACAUAUAUUUACAUAUGCAAUGGAUAUACACAAGAAUAUACAUGUACACACACCCUCACAUAUAAUCCAACCCAUGCCAGUAUGGAAAACAGAUGUUUAAUGAUAAUGAUUAUGAUGAUGAUGAUAUAUAUAUAUAUAAAUAUUCAUGCCAAAGCUGCUCUUUAACUUGCUGGAUCUUGUCAUAUUGUCCGACCCAUGCCAGCAUGGGAAAACAGAAAUUAAUAGAUGAGAAUGAUGAUGAUGACGAUAAUGAUACACACAUGGAGCAUUUCCAUAUUAAAAACGUCUUUAACAAAUGGCAUUAAGACUGUUGUUCUCACAUCUAUAACUGGAUGCCUGUUCUAACAUUAACAACUAAAUCAGAGUUAACAAUUGUGCUUCUUUUUCACUAUGUUUAUUUAUGAAUGCAUAGAAUUACGAUUUAACUCUGAACAUUGUUUUUCUAGGUGACUUUAAACUUAGAAUAUUCAAAACAACUCUUACAAUGAUUUAUUGCAUUUCUUGACAAAAGAUGUUUAAUUUCUGUGGCAGUAUUGUAAGAUACACUAAUUUGUAAAGGGUAUCAUCUAACAUAUGAAUAAAUGUCUAUUUAGCAAUAGGAAAAUGACAAAAGAAAAAUACAAGCAUAUUCUACACUUUUGCAUAAUGGUUAGUUAACAGAAAAUCUAUGGAAUACUUUGAAAUUACAGUUGCAUUGUAAUAUUUUAUUUUCAUCAUUAGAGUUAUUAUUGUUAAUUGAUAAUAGAUCUGAAAGUUGAUGCAAUAUGUUAUUUGUUAGGAAUAUGUUCUAAAUUUGAAAGGUUUUUUUCCCCCCUUCAAUACAUUUAAUAGUUACAAGACAAAUCAGCUAACACAAUUGAACUCAAAAAAAGCCUUCUGCCACUAAUUAUUUUCUUUCUUUCUCUCUCUCUUUCUGUCACUUUCUGUAUAUGUAUAUAUACACCACACACACACACCACACAAGCACAUUCAUAUACAUUCAUAUAUAUAUAUAUAUAUCAAGCUAUUGAUACUCUUACUCAAAGAAGCACACAAAAGACAAAGACAUCUAACAUAUUAAAUGGGUUAUCUUGGUCCUGCUACAUAGACAUAAAAAAUUAAAUCUUCAUAUUGCAAUAAUUCUAGAUGACUUGAAAACCAACUAUUCACAUUUUAUGAAAUGUUCCUACUUUUGUAUGUGGUUUAAUUUAGGAAAUUAUAUUUAAAGAUUAUUAAUACUGUUAGAUAUUUUCAAAAUGAAAAUCUGUAUGAAAGAGUCCUUUUCUGUCUUUGUCCUAAAAUUUCUUUGUAUUAAUAUAUCAAUAUAUGUCUGUACUCAUAGUAGGUUAGAUACUGAAUAGAAUCUAUACAUUUAAAGACUGCUUUGCAAAUAAUUAUGGCAUUUUUAUCAAUAAUAAUGUUUAGAAAUCAUGAAGAUACAAAUAGAAUUGGAUCAAACAGUUUAAACUUUGUUUUACAUUUAAUAAUAUUUCUCCUGAGUUACCAAAUAAUUUCAAUUUUGAUUGAGACCAUUUGUUCCCUAAUUAAUUUUGUUAGAUUUUUGUGAGGAACAGAGACUGAAAAUUACUUUGAAAUCUAAAUUGAUGAUAAUAAAUAAAUUAAUACUUCAAAUAAUUCUCUUUCUCAAAAAUUAGAGAACCAAUCAAUUCUUCUAUAAAUUUGACAUUACCAAAUAUAGGUGAUUAGUAAUGUAUCAUUUAAAUCACUUUCAAAUAAUGUAAUAGUUUAUUUGAUAAUUUUAUGAAAGUGGGGUUAGGUUUUUUUUUAUUUAAAUUUUUCAAUAAAAUAGAUGAGUUAAAACAUGAAGUAUGAAUAGUUAUAUUAUUUUUUUCAAAAUUUAUCUUGAGUAAUAAAGCUUUAACCCUACUGAAUUUUCAAAGUGAGGAAAGCAAAAUUACAUCAGCAUAUCUAUAUUUUUUGACUGGAUAAUAGCAUAUUAGGCAAACAGCUACCAAUGGAUCAUAAGUUCAAGUCCACUCAAGGUAUUUUUCUUACUGUGUAAACAAACAUCACACUUUAUUCAAUGCUAUAAUCCUUGCAAAGUUGAUGAAAAUCACUUCACUUGCUAAUAACAGCUGCCACAUCUCUCUGGAAUCAUUCCAUACUACAUAAUUUAGUUCUACAUACACUAAGUCAGAAAUAAAGACAGAACAGAUUUGAAGAUAAUAUCUGCUCAAACAAGACUGAUUUAGGAGUUAAACAAGGACAAAAACAGAAGCAAACGCUUUGAAAGUUAUAUUUUUGUCCUUUAAAUAUCUGUAAAUAUUUACAAGUAAGCUACUAUCUCUUCUUUAACAAGAUUCAUUCACACUUGUAUACAUGAGAAUAUACUUAAUUUUCCUACCAUACUUCCUAAAGUACAAUUUGCCAUUCAUUAAAACAGCUUACAGUUUAGUGUUAUCUAACCAGAAUUAGAGAGAACAAAUCAGACGUAUCGUUGUUACAAUCUUUAAAACAUUAGUUGCCUAUCUUGAGAUAGCAAGUGUUUCUUCCAUCUAUUUUGAGUCAGUUCUUCUAUUUCCACUUCACCUAUCUACUUCCCCUUUUCAUUUUUUUUUUAUCUGUCUUUCAGAGUUUAUUAUCCAUGGCCAUUUCACAAAUGAGGGGUAAAAAUUUAGUGCUACAAUGUUUAAUAAAGCCUAAAGUUGAGAGAACUCAUAGUUAGAAACUUUAAUAGACACAAGCAAAUAGACAAGGUGUAAAAUAACACUUAAAAGUUAUAUUUUUCUUUUCUUCUCUUGGAAUAAUAGCAUAAAUUUUAUUUUUCAAUCUCGGAAAUCUAUCUGGUAAAUUCAGUUAGAAUACUCCUUUCAUAAAUUAGAGUAAUUAAUAAGGCUGAAGACCAAAUUCUAGUUUCUACAGCGUUAAAAGAUGAAGAGCAAUUAAUUUAUCACAGAUAACCUUUGCAGAAAAAAAAAUGUUUGUUAAAAAACGGCAAUGUAGAAUUAAUUACCUUGUUCAGAAACAACGAAACACAUAUAAUUGAUUUAUAAUCAGAACUCAGGAGCUACAUGUCCCUUGUAGAUCUAUUUGAAUUCAAUUACAAACUGUGUAUUUAACACACAUGUACACUUGUUUAGAUGUAUGCGCACACAUGCAUAAAAUAUGUACGUGUGUGUGUGUAUAAAUAUGUUUUAGUGUGUGUUUGUUACAUUAAGAACUGUGUGCAAUAAAAUGUAUUUUGUUGGACUCGCAGUUUGUAAAAUAGCAUAUUAAAACUUUGACCUAAUACCUUGAGGUAUUCUUUCUUGUAGCUUAUAUUCCUAUGCACAGAUAACCAAAUGACCACAAGACUUAUGUGUGCGUGUGUAUGUGUGUGUGUGUAAGACUUUGGUUUGUUUUUUCAUCUCAGUAAAGUUAUAAGAAUAGGAAAACAUUUUAUAUAAGUGAAUUUGAAUUUUGUUGUACAUGUCACGAAGCAGAACAUGUUAUAUCAUGAGAUCUAUAGAUUCUAUUUUUGGUAAUUGUAAAAAUUUACACUAGUCUCCAGCCUUUGAUAAGCUAUAUAUUUUUUAAUAAGCAAUACACAGUGCACACACACACACACACACACACACACACACACACACACACACACAUACAUACAUGUACUUACACACAUUUCUAUGUUUUUUACUACUCUUGUAUAUUUCAUCACUGAAAAAAAGAUUCAUUACCAUAAGUCUUUUCUGAUAAGUAUGCAGUUAUCUAUUUCCAUCUAUAGAUGAAAGAAAAAUAACAGAAAACAUACUUUUUUGUAAUAGCAACUUCUGAUUAUAUAAUAAUCAUUUUAGUAGAAUUUUUUAAUUAUCACUGAGAUUUUAGAACAAGCAUUAAAUUUUAAUUCUAGCUUACCACUUUAAAACACUAAACAGUAAGGCUUAUAAGAAUCUGAAAUAAAGAAAAAACGAAAAUUAAUCUUGGCAUACUAAUUAAUUUCCAAAAACACAUAGGCACACACAUACACAUAGACAACUAUAGACAUAAGGAAAUAGAUAUUUAUAUUAACAACAAAAUUUCUAAGUUAUACACUUUCAUAUAUGUAUGUAUAAAAUCUCAUAUAUAUGUACAAACUUGAAAUGUCUCAGAGGAUUAACACACAUGGAUGAUGUUUAAUCAAAGCUUUGUUUUGUAUGAGCUACCCAUGUGUAGACUUAAAAAAAAAUUAAGAUUAAAAUCUGUCUGAUUUUCUUUUAUUUUUUGUUUUUAUAACAAAACAUACUAUUAUUGAGGUCUUGGUUCAUAAGCAUGAUAUAACUAUUUUAUUGUUCUGUUGAACCACUUUGCUUUAUUACAGAUUUCUGCUGGAGAAGUAUUAGCUAUGUAUUACUCUAAUAAAACAGAAAAUACAUAUAACUUAAUAGAUCUAUACAAUAUCAAUAUAAAAAAAUGAUAUCUAUAUAUAAAUUUUGUGUGAGAGUAAUUGACCAAAACAAAACAAAAGGAAAAGAAUGAAAUAUUAAAUAAAAGGCACCAAUCAUUCAUUUUAUCUUAGCAUUUACUCUAAUAAACAAAAAGACCAUUUUUUUUUGUUUGCUUGAUUUUGGGGGAGUGGGGGUUGUUAAUUAUUAUUCAUAAAUUAGAUAUUUUAAAGCAAUUUGACUGAAGCUGAGAAUGGUAACUUUGCUAUCUUAUAUUUUUAGUAAACUCCAAACGCUUCAAUAAACAGAUAUAAAAUUGAUUGAAAAUAAAUUUUAUUGAUUUUUAAUCUAAAUUUAUUGAUAAAUGGUCAUACUAUAUUAAUUCUUCUUUCAUUUCACUUUAAGAAUAUUCAUUCUCCCUCAGCAUUAACUCAAUUAAAACAGUAAUACUAAUAUACAUAUAUAUAUGAUAUAUAAUGUUAGAACAAUGUAAAUGAAUUUAUGGGAAAAGUAUAUCAUUGAUAGAUUUGAAACCAGAACUUCCCUGUAUCUGAUAUUAGAUAAUGUGUCAUUUACAUUAAAAGCUUUGUUGUUAUUAUAUAAUUCCUUAUUAAAAUUCAUUAUGUGUCAGGGAUGUUGAUUUUGGUGCAAAUUGAACUGGCAAUGGAAUAAAUAAUGUUAAGCAUCUAGUUUAUUGCGAUAAUGUUACCACCAACCCAAGUAACAUAAUAACGCUAAUAACUCUCUUAACUUACAACCUGUAUCUGCCAGAAAAGCAGCAGGAAAAUGUAACACAAAUCAGACAAAGACACAGAAUAACAAUACUAGAAGAUAUACAAAUACAUCUAGAUUCAAAACAGGAGGAAGAGAACUUAAUAUGUAAAGCAAGGUGUAUAAUUUUUAUUUGCAGAGAUUGCUACAGGAGUCACUCAAAGAUCUAAUGUUUCAUGCCAAAGCAGUUAUCAAACUAAGUGUUUGACAAAUGCUUUGGCAAGAAGCCCUCAGCCCUUCAGCAAUAUCUGUAGUAUUCUCACAAAAAAAAAAAAUUAUACAUAUUCUUGCAUGCAUGUGUGUUUGUGUAUGUAUAUGUUAGAUAUGCAUAAAAUGAAGUUUUAAAUAUGUGCAUAUAUCUAGGGAAAGAAAAUGGAAAGUUAUAGAAUAUGUAACAGAAGAUGCUUUAAGUUAUACAAAUUAAUAAAUGUAUUUUCUGUAAGAUCAUAUUUAUAUCUCGUUCUUACAGAUUUUCUUCCCUCCUCAUCUCUUUUUAAUGCAGAAACUAACCAAGUAAUUUUCACUCAAACAAUAAAUGUCAAUACUUAUAUAAAUUUUACAGUUUAAAUCCAUCAUCAUCACCAUAAUAAUAAUAAUAAUAAUAAUAAUAAUAAUAAUAAUAAUAAUAAUAACGAUGAUGAUGUAGUAAGAACAGUAAAUGUCCACCAAUCUGAAGUAUUUCACGAAACAAUUCUCAACAUUCUAAAAGUCCAACUGCAAUCUUACAAAAUACAUUUAGAUGAAUACAGACAUACAUACAUAUAUAUACAUGUGUGUGUGUGUGUGUUGUGUGUGUGUGUGUGUGUGAGAGAGAGAGAGAGAGAGAGAGAGGGAGAAAGUGAUGUUGCAUGGAAAAAUCAUGUGGGACAAUGGUGGUCAAUAUACUUCUGAUUAUAGGUUUGUUGAAUGAAGGCUGAACUGGGAUUAAAUAAACAACUUCGAAGUCUCAAAUAAUCAGAACUAUAAGAUGAUAAUAUGAACACUUGUCGCUUAAAUACUUUCUUUCUAUAACAAACUUAUGAUAAGAUUAUAAUUUCCUCAUCCCCUCACUAAAAUAUUAUCAUACUUCCCUUUUCUCUUUCUUAAAUGGUUAGAAUAACACAGCAACAUUAAAUUAUCAAAUAACAAGUUCUAACUAUUUAAGAAAAUAUGAGCUUAUAAAGAAUUAUCAAAAUUAGAUCAGUAUGGAACAAUGGAUGUAAGUAAAAGCUUUAAAAAUGUUAAUAUUUUAACAAGCAGAAUAUUUCAAUAGACAAACUGACUUCUUAAGUGAGAUGUCAUCUAAAUAUAUGUUGGUUUAAAAUGAGAACAUAGACAAGUAUUAAUGCACAUAAAAAUGGUAUGAUCUGAGUUGAAUUUAAAGUUUAUGAUAACAAUCAGUCUCCAAACUCUUGUUAAAUAAUCUCAGUUCUUAGAGAGUUUCAUAUUUAUGUUAGAAAAGCUUUGAAUGGCAUGCACAGAAAGUUUAAAGUGGAAAAACCACUAUGGUAGUCCUUUAAAAUUGCGAAUAUAAAUAUAUAGUAAUUUUUACACAAUUAGAAAGAUUUAUUUCUAACUUUGGCACAAGGCCAGUAAUUUGUGGCACAAGUUAAUUACAUCAACCCCACCCCCGUACUUGACUGGUGCUUUAUUUUAUCGACCCCCAAAAGGAUGGAAGGCAACACUCACCUUGGCAAGAUUUGAACUCAGAACUUGAAGAAUGAGUAAAAAUAUUUUGCUUGCCGUGCUAAUUAUUCUGCCAGCUCACUGCUGAAUUAAUAAUAAUAAUAAUUAAUAAUAAUAAUGGUGAUGAUGAUGAUGAUGAUAAUAAUAAUAAUAAUAAUAAUAAUAAUAAUAAACAACUAAGUUUAAAGAAGGUGUGAAGUUAAAGAAUGAAUAAUAACACAAACAUCAUUUGAGGUGACAAACAUCUUAAUAAGGUUAGCAACAUGUAACACCAUUAAAUAUUCAACAAAUUUUCAAUACCUGCAAUAAGGUUUAUGCUUUUAUUUUUUAACUUAAUCAUUUUCAUUAUGUAACUUCCAAUAUUUUGCAUGAAAUGCAUCACUGUAUUGCAACAAAUUAACUUCCAAGAAGCUUUGUAACUUAGGAAGAGUUAAAACAUUAUUACAAAUACAAAGGUCUUGUUGGCAUAGAUUUAAUAUAACUACUGAAUGAUAUAAGGUAUAUACAACAAUCCAUCAUGCAUGGUAUGCCUGUUCUUAUAAGUGUGAGGAUUUUGGAUAACAUGCCCUAUUAGAUGGAGUUUAAUCAGUUCAUUUUCAUAACUUUAUUCAUUCUGUAGCUUUCCAUACUAUUUCAUUCACUAAAUCCUUUUUGAUUCCAUUGAAUACAUUUAAUUUAAGUUGACAUGCAACAGUAAUGAAAAACUUGAAAUUAAAAAUAUAUAUAUAUACUAAUAAAUAAAGUAAAUUGCUCACUAAAAUAAAUAAAUAAAUAAAAUAAAAUAAAAACUGCACUAAAAAAACCACACAAAAUCUUCUUUAAUGAGUAUAAUGACAUUUUUACCUUGGGACAUGCAGCUAAAUAUUUAUUUACAAACACAUAUAAAUACAAAUAAUCUUACAAUUCAAACAACCUCAGUUAAUAGAAGUUUAUCAAAUAAAUUGGUGAUGAAUAAGUCCAUCUUUGACUCCUGCAUUUUCUUUUUAAUCAAAUGUGUGAACAAUAGUUUACCAAACGAAUUUUCAGGCUGUAUCCACAAUGACAAUAUAUAUACAUGUAUACAUAUAUAUAUAUAUAUAUAUAUAUAUAUAUAUAUAUGUAUAUGACAUACAUAUAUAUAUCAAUGUGUUAGAAUGUACAUAUAAAAAUGUAUGUGGUAUAUGUAUAUAUUUAUCACAUGCAUACAACAUACAAAUGUAUAUGUAUCAAUACAUGCAUGUGUGUGUAUGUGUAUAUAUGAACUUUUAAUGCUUAUGAUUUAAUUGCUUCCUAAAGGUCUAUGCACUUUCAUGCCUGCAGUAUUUUAGUUUUAUAAAUAUAUAUAUAUAUAUAUAUAUAUAUAUAUAUAUAUAUAUGUAUAUAAGUAUAUGUGUAUGUAUGUGCGUAUGUAUGCAUAUAUAUGUAUGUGUGAGAGUUUUCCAAAUGGCAUGCAAUUCAACUUUUUAUCUUUUUGGGGUUUCAACAAAGGGAGACAACCCACAUCAUCGCACCUAUUCAAAAGCAAUGUUAAGAAAUUAUUAUUACUAGCUACAAAACAUAGCUUAGAAUUCAAUCGUUAGGAAGAUGUUGCCCUCUCAAUUAUAGCUUAACGCUCAGUUUAUUUGAUAAAAUUAUAACAAAACUAGUUACAUAGCUCAUACACUCCAGCAGAGUAUUAUUCUUUGCCAAACAAACAAAAUAUUUUCAAUAAAGGCAAAAUACAUUCACUUUAGUUGCUAUUCUUUACAAGUUAUGUUGAAUUUUAAAGCUAUUUACUCUAAGAAAGUCAUGUUAUCAAUAUAAAAAUUUAGAAUUACAAUUAACAAUAUAAUCUGUGGUAUUUCUUUUUUAUUUUCUAUUUUAUUAUAAGUUGUUAAUAUAAUAAAAUUUAUUGUUGAGCUAAAUGAAAAUAGCAAACAAAGAAAGUUAGAUAUAGAAAUAAAAACUACAACAUUCAUUAGAUUUUGAACCAUUACAAUAGUUUUCUAGAAAGUAUGGAAUACAAAAAUGGUCAAAGCAUGUUUGCAUUUCUUUCUUAUUGAAUUAAUUUAAAUCCAAAAACAAAUUCCUUUCGGAGAUUCAUUUAGGAAAUGCAAUAGUUGUUGUUGUUGAGCUUAAACUUUAUAGUAAGGGUUUAGUUUUAUGUCAAUAAUUUAUUUAGAAAAACACAAAAAUAGAAAAUAGCUGAUAAUUAUAUUUUGGCAGAACCAUUUUCAAAUUGCAAGAAUACAAAUUGUUCAUUUGCACCAGUCACACAAACAACACGUUUAGAUUAUAUAUAUAUAUAUAUAUAUAUAUAUAUAUAUAUAUAUAUAUAUAUAUAUAUAUAUAUAUAUAUAUGUAUCUGCUGAUAGAUUAAUAUAUGGGUUGACACAGAAUAUUUAUUGAAAAAACUGUGAUUAAUGCAUAGGAAAGAAAAUCACAUUGAAAUCUAUAUUAAAUUUUUAAAUGUUAUUUAAAUGAUCACAAUAUUUUGAACAGUACAAUGUAAUACAAACAAGAAAAUAGAGAAUAUUGUUAAGUUUGUGCAAGAAUAGGGCAACAGGUAAAAUUGCAAGCACUUUAGCGAGGUUUUUCAAUAGAUUACAAAUCGUAAAUUGUAUUUUCCUUCAAAUUCCUGUCUUCCCUUUGGCCAUUUGUAAAUGAUAAAAGGUUGACUGCAUGUCCAUCUGCUCAUGAGUUAAUGUUGAUGUACUAGGAUAUGAAAAUUCUGAAGUUCACUUUGGCUAUCCUGCUUUGCCAGAAGAUUGUAACAGAAUGAUAUGCUUGUGACCAAUCGAAGGCACUCUUGGGUGCUGGUGUGGAGUCGUGGAUACUGCUGGAACCAUUUAUGCAAGACUGGACAAUGGCCUAGGUGA
rnacentral:lncRNA from 1 species